CGGUCGGGAGGCUUCUGGUGGGACAGAGGCCGGGAAUUGAUCGUAACCCGCUCUCUCUGAUGGCUGCGCCGCUGGGGCCCGACAGCGCGCAUG
rnacentral:ncRNA from 1 species